rnacentral:rRNA from 1 species
UACGUAGGGGGCAAGCGUUGUCCGGAAUCAUUGGGCGUAAAGAGCUCGUAGGCGGUUCAGUAAGUCGGGUGUGAAAUCUCCGUGCUCAACACGGAGCGGCCACCUGAUACUGCUGUGACUCGAGUCCGGUAGGGGAGUGUGGAAUUCCCGGUGUAGCGGUGAAAUGCGCAGAUAUCGGGAGGAACACCAGUAGCGAAGGCGGCGCUCUGGGCCGUGACUGACGCUGAGGAGCGAAAGCGUGGGUAGCAAACAGG